AUCUUAUUCCGUUUUGUGCUGCCAGAAUGGAAGUCUGGAGAUGGUGUAAUUUGUAAAGAACAGAGAUUUAUUUCUUACAUUUCUGGAGGCUGAGAAGUCCAAGAUCCAGUCAUGUGUGGGGAGGCUCUUCUUGUUCAUCAUCCCAUGGUAACAGCAUGGAUCCUUUAAUGAGGAUAAAGUCUGUGUGACCUCAUCACCUCUUCAUCAUCACUGUGUUGAGGAUUCACGUUCCAACAUAGAAACACUGGGCGAUACACUCAAACCAGAGCACGCGCAAGUAUAAUUUUAUGAAAACAGGGCCAAUAACCUAGAUGAAAAGUCUUUUUUUUUUUUUUUUGGUACCGGGAUCGAACUCGGGACCUUGCACUUGCACUACGGCAGGCUCUGGAACCAUUGAGCUAAAUCCCCAGCCCGAUGACCAGGCCGGGAUAAUGACUCUUCUUUUAAUACCUAAUCCAACGGGGGGAAGAUAAGGGACCCAAAGGGACAGUAAUUCUCACCAAUUCUAGUUACUCAUUCAUCCAACAAUUUAAACCAUUAAUAGGGCACUUACUUUGUACCAGGCAUUGAAAAGAUGCAGGAGACUCCACGAUCUCCUUGGAGAUACAAAGAGGAUUCACCUUUCCAUCAACAGUUAUUUACUGAAAACCUACUAUGACAUAAGUUCUAAGCUCAGAGUUGGGUAUAAUGAACAAAGCAGACCAAAGUCCCUGUUCUCCUGGAGCUGGCAUUUCAGGGAAGAGAAGGAUAAGUGAAAUUAGCAUUAUGCACAUAGUCUCACAGAUAGUGAGAAGAGCAAAGGAGGAGGGCUUCCGGAGUGUUCCUGAGGGUGAGCUAACACAAUGCGGAUAAUGAGGGAAGGCUUCACAGUGAGGUGGCAAACUGCACUCAGAAGACAGAGAAAAAGCUGGGCCCUUCCAGCCCCUACCGCCUUCUUCAAAUGUAGUUCUCAGGGGGCAGAAAUGUUAUUUUCUCAUGUUCCCUGCCCGAGGGAUAAUCUCUGGAAACUGACCCAGAGGAUAAGCAAUUGUUGAGCACCAACUAGGCUCCCUCCUUCAGCAUUUACUGAGCAUCUAGCCCUCAAGGAGCUCAGCGUAGACUCACGUGGUCACAAGUCACACCAGCCGGCUGCACCGCGCAUGCACUAGGGUGUCGCAGGUGCCAGGGCGGCCUGGGACUUUCCUAGGUGACCUGUGAACCAGUGGCUCCGCGACUAGGCACAGCCGUUAGCCCCGCAUGUGGACAGGAGGCCGAGCUCAUUGACCCAGGACCCCAAAGCCCUUACCCGGGCCGUAGGCGAAGUCACAAAAUUAGGAGGUGACCUCUGAAGGGCGCCCUGGGCGUCUCCAAGGACCUCGCCACCGCCCGUCAUAGCGCCGCCCCCGCCCCGCCCCGCCCCGCGCCUCCAGGGGCAGCGAGGGAGCAAAAGUCCAGCGGGCGCGCUCCUCGCUCCUGCAGUGUCGCCCCCGGCGCGGCGCGUGACUCCUCCGACUGGGCCGGCGCGGGCAGGAGCGCGCGGCUGCGCGGGACCCAGCGGCGACGCGCG
ensembl:lncRNA